rnacentral:rRNA from 1 species
CUAUACUGCAAGUUGAGCGCUGAAGGUUGGUACUUGUACCAACUGGAUGAGCAGCGAACGGGUGAGUAACGCGUGGGGAAUCUGCCUUUGAGCGGGGGACAACAUUUGGAAACGAAUGCUAAUACCGCAUAAAAACUUUAAACACAAGUUUUAAGUUUGAAAGAUGCAAUUGCAUCACUCAAAGAUGAUCCCGCGUUGUAUUAGCUAGUUGGUGAGGUAAAGGCUCACCAAGGCGAUGAUACAUAGCCGACCUGAGAGGGUGAUCGGCCACAUUGGGACUGAGACACGGCCCAAACUCCUACGGGAGGCAGCAGUAGGGAAUCUUCGGCAAUGGACGAAAGUCUGACCGAGCAACGCCGCGUGAGUGAAGAAGGUUUUCGGAUCGUAAAACUCUGUUGGUAGAGAAGAACGUUGGUGAGAGUGGAAAGCUCAUCAAGUGACGGUAACUACCCAGAAAGGGACGGCUAACUACGUGCCAGCAGCCGCGGUAAUACGUAGGUCCCGAGCGUUGUCCGGAUUUAUUGGGCGUAAAGCGAGCGCAGGUGGUUUAUUAAGUCUGGUGUAAAAGGCAGUGGCUCAACCAUUGUAUGCAUUGGAAACUGGUAGACUUGAGUGCAGGAGAGGAGAGUGGAAUUCCAUGUGUAGCGGUGAA